rnacentral:lncRNA from 10 species
UGCGUCACAGCUGGGGGAAACCGGGGCUCAAUACGGCUGGGGAUGCUCUGAGAAACCAAGCAGAAAAUACCUCCGAAUCUUCCCACUGAAGGAUGAGGAGUGGGCCGGCGUGGUGGCUCAAGCCUGUGAUCCCAGCACUUUGGGAGGCCAAGAUAGGAGGAAUGCCUGAGGCCAGGAGUUCAUGAUCAGUCUGGGCAACAUAGUGAGAUCCCAUCUCUCAAAAAAAAUUUGUUUUUCAUUAGCCAGACAUGGGGCUUGUGCCUGUAGUUCCAGCUAUUCGGGAGGCUGAGGAAGGAGGAUCAUGAGCCGGGCACGGUGGCUCACACCUGUAAUCCCACCAGCUUUUGCCAUUAUUAUAAAGGCAAUUUAAAAAUAAAUAAAAUAAAAAUGAAGGAGGAAGUGGCUGGGGCAUUGAUGCAGCAAACUCGCCUGGCCUUUAGGGAAGAGCUUCCCAGGGGCGUUACAAAGGAAGACAUUACACAUCCCCACACUUUUGGGGUGCACCUGGGGUCCAAGUAGGUUCCAUGGUGCCAGAGAAAACCGAGAGGAGAGGGCUAGGCCCGGUGGCUCAUGCCUGUAAUCCCAGCACUUUGGGAGACCAAG